UACGUAGGGUGCAAGCGUUGUCCGGAUUUAUUGGGUUUAAAGGGUGCGUAGGUGGCUGAUUAAGUCAUGGGUGAAAGCCCGCAGCUCAACUGUGGAAUUGCCUGUGAUACUGAUUAGCUUGAGUGCGGUUGAGGCAGCUGGAAUUGGUGGUGUAGCGGUGAAAUGCAUAGAUACCACCAGGAACACCGAUUGCGAAGGCAGGUUGCUAAGCCGUAACUGACACUGAGGCAGGAAAGUGUGGGGAGCAGACACG
rnacentral:rRNA from 1 species